UGGGGGAUAUUGCACAAUGGGCGAAAGCCUGAUGCAGCGACGCCGCGUGGGGGAUGAAGGCCUUCGGGUUGUAAACUUCUUUUGCUCUGAACAAGGCGCACCAUGGGGUGUGUUGAGUGUAGGGGUUGAUUAGCGCCGGCUAACUACGUGCCAGCAGCCGCGGUAAUACGUAGGGCGCGAGCGUUGUCCGGAAUUAUUGGGCGUAAAGGGCUGGUAGGUGGCUGGUUGCGUCUGUCGUGAAAGCUCAUGGCUUAACUGUGGGUUUGCGGUGGGUACGGGCUGGCUUGAGUGCAGUAGGGGAUGCUGGAAUUCCUGGUGUAGCGGUGGAAUGCGCAGAUAUCAGGAGGAAUACCGGUGGCGAAGGCGGGUCUCUGGGCUGUUACUGACACUGAGGAGCGAAAGCAUGGGGAGCGAACAGG
rnacentral:rRNA from 1 species